UACGUAGGGGGCAAGCGUUGUCCGGAUUUAUUGGGCGUAAAGAGCGUGUAGGCGGCCAGGUAGGUCCGUUGUGAAAACUCGAGGCUCAACCUCGAGACGCCGAUGGAAACCAUCUGGCUAGAGUCCGGAAGAGGAGAGUGGAAUUCCUGGUGUAGCGGUGAAAUGCGCAGAUAUCAGGAAGAACACCCGUGGCGAAGGCGGCUCUCUGGGACGGUACUGACGCUGAGACGCGAAAGCGUGGGGAGCGAACAGG
rnacentral:rRNA from 1 species